AACGAACGUUGGCGGCGUGCUUAAUACAUGCAAGUCGAGCGAGAACGGAGGGGCAACUCUCCUAGUACAGCGGCGAAAGGGUGCGUACAACGUGGAUAACGUACCCCCAGGCCCGGAAUAACCCAGGGAAACUUGGGCUAAUACCGGAUACCAUCGCGAUGGGGCAUCCUGUUGCGAUCAAAGACGCAAGUCACCAGGGGAGCGUUCCACGGCCUAUCAGCUAGUUGGCGGGGUAACGGCCCACCAAGGCGAUGACGGGUAGCCGGACUGAGAGGUCGACCGGCCACACGGGAACUGAGACACGGUCCCGACACCUACGGGUGGCAGCAGUAGGGAAUAUUGCGCAAUGGGCGAAAGCCUGACGCAGCGACGCCGCGUGGGGGAUGAAGGCCUUCGGGUUGUAAACCCCUUUCAUGAGGGAAGAAUACUGACCUAACCUCAAGAAGAAGCACCGGCUAACUCCGUGCCAGCAGCUGCGGUAAUACGGAGAGUGCAAACGUUGUUCGGAUUCACUGGGCGUAAAGGGCACGUAGGCGGCCAGGCAAAUCGAUCGUGGAAUACCAACGCUUACCGUUGGUGCGGCGGUCGAAAAUACCUGGAUCGAGGGCGUGAGGGGUCACUGGAACUUCUGGUGGAGCGGUGAAAUGCGUAGAUAUCAGAAGGAACGCCGGAGGCGAAAGCGAGUGACUGGCGCGUUCCUGACGCUGAGGUGCGAAAGCUGGGGGAGCAAACAGGAUUAGAUACCCUGGUAGUCCCAGCCGUAAACGAUGAACACUAGGUGGAGGAGGGCUUGCCCUUCUCUGCCGCAGCUAACGCAUUAAGUGUUCCGCCUGGGGAGUACGGCCGCAAGGUUAAAACUC
rnacentral:rRNA from 1 species